CUGUUAUUGGGUGUGUGUCUGCUAGUGAGUGUGUUACUGUGUGUGUCUGUUACUGAGUGUGUGUUUGUCAGUGAAAGUGUAUGUUUUGUAAGUGAGUGUGUAUGUAUGUCUGUCGCUGAGUGUGUCUCUGUCAGUAAAUGUGUGUGUCUGUUAGCUAGUGUGUAUGCGUCUGUUCGUGAUAGUUUGUGUGUGUGUCUCUUCAGCAUUUACCUUUCUCCAGCGUCGGACUCCCCAGUGUCCGCCUCUCAGCUCCGAAUGCAAAUGCGUGGCAAGAGGCGCGCGCGCGCAUUUAAACCGCC